rnacentral:rRNA from 1 species
UACGGAGGGUGCAAGCGUUAAUCGGAAUUACUGGGCGUAAAGCGCACGCAGGUGGCUGAGCGAGUCGAUUGUGAAAGCCCUGGGCUUAACCUGGGAAUUGCAGUCGAUACUACUCAGCUAGAGUAUGGGAGAGGGUAGUGGAAUUCCCGGUGUAGCGGUGAAAUGCGUAGAUAUCGGGAGGAACAUCAGUGGCGAAGGCGGCUCACUGGACCAUAACUGACGCUGAUGCACGAAAGCUGGGGGAGCAAACAGG